rnacentral:misc_RNA from 1 species
UCAGCGAUCAGACUGUUAUCACGCUGAGUAGAACCAGUGCCACACGAGGAUCAGCUGAUGCUUUUAAGGCCAGCCGUACCAAUGAAGGACACAGGCAAAGCCCAACAACCAAGGCUAAGGACGGACAAAAAAUCCAUCCAAGCUUGAGAAAUUUCGCGACACUCGAACAGGCGUGCUCCCCGGAAUACCAGGGAGCGCAA